AGCUGAGCUAAACUAACGAAGCCACAUUCAAACUCGCCGAAGCGUAAAAUAGUCGUCGCGGUCCGUAGUCGGUGCACAAGAAGCACCGCUGCACCGCCACCGUUAACGAAGUUAACGUCGACGAUAUUAACUCUGGACCCUGUUCUUUGUGUUUCCUGUGGAGAAAAAGGAGGCUCCUCAUGGUCAAAAACAACAGCUGUUGCGUUUACAUCUGUUAUUCUGCUGGUGAUCAUCAUCCUCGCUGCCUUCCUCUUGAUCAGAAAAAGGAGCCGGCCUGCAGAGAGACCAGACAACAAUGAGAUCCCACCAGCGGAGCCUUGCUAUGCUACCGUGAGCUUCUCCAGAAACCAGGAGGAUCUUCUUCUCUACUCCAACGUCAGUCCAGCUCGCCCCCACAGACGCAAGGAGGAGGUGGAGGAAGUUCUGUACUCAGGUGUCAACUUUGAGAGUUCUGGUGCUGCCAGCGAACGGAGAUGUGAAGGAGCUGUGGAUGAUUCUUCUGCUCUG